rnacentral:rRNA from 1 species
UACGUAGGGCGCAAGCGUUGUCCGGAAUUAUUGGGCGUAAAGAGCUCGUAGGCGGUUUGUCGCGUCUGCUGUGAAAUCCCGAGGCUCAACCUCGGGCUUGCAGUGGGUACGGGCAGACUAGAGUGCGGUAGGGGAGACUGGAAUUCCUGGUGUAGCGGUGGAAUGCGCAGAUAUCAGGAGGAACACCGAUGGCGAAGGCAGGUCUCUGGGCCGCAACUGACGCUGGAGGAGCGAAAGCAGUGGGGAGCGAACAGG